rnacentral:rRNA from 1 species
UUCGCAAUGCCCGAAAGGGUGACGAAGCGACGCCGCGUGUGGGAAGAAGGCCUUCGGGUUGUAAACCACUGUCGGGAGUUAAGAAAUACAAGGAUAUGAAUAGUGUCUUUGCUUGACUAAGGCUCCGGAGGAAGCCACGGCUAACUCUGUGCCAGCAGCCGCGGUAAUACAGAGGCGGCAAGCGUUGUUCGGAAUUAUUGGGCGUAAAGAGCACGUAGGCGGCUAUGUAAGUCGGUUGUGAAAGCCUUCCGCUCAACGGAAGAACAGCAUCCGAUACUACAUGGCUUGAGUGCGGGAGGGGAGAGUGGAACUUCUGGUGGAGCGGUGAAAUGCGUAGAUAUCAGAAGGAACGCCGGCGGCGAAAGCGGCUCUCUGGCCCAUAACUGACGCUGAGUGUGCGAAAGCUAGGGGAGCAAACGGGAUUAGAUACCCCGGUAGUCCUAGCCGUAAACGAUGGGCACUAAGUAGAGGGGUUUU